rnacentral:lncRNA from 1 species
AUUGUUGCAAACCGCAGACAACCGCUACCAACCGCAAAAGUUGCGUUUGCGGGUGGUAGCGGAAAAACCAGUCGCCCCUUAAUUAAAAUAUAAUAGAUAUAUUUUAGUAUUUUUAUAAUUCCAAUUUAAAAUUUUUAUUUUAUUUUUAUUUUUAUUUUUUUAUUUAUAUUGUUUAAAAAAAAAAUACCCUCCCACAAUCGCCCGCAACCGUAACCAUUAGCUGGAACCAGCUUUUGAAUUUAAGAGGUUUAGAGCAAUUUGAUGUGGUUUAGAGCGGUUUGAAUGAUUGUUACAGCUGCGUUUGCGGGUGAUAGCAGAGAAACCAAUGAUGCCCUAAGUGAAAAACUUAUAGUUCAUAUUUAUGGCAUCAAGACAAUCUAUUAGUUUUUU